UGACCCAGCUUACUCAUACCCUUGCUUUUACAAAAUCCUGUUCUUUUUGCGGAUACAGACUAACACGGCUGCUACUCUGAACUCUGAUUAAUGCUGAGAGACGCCUAUGAAGUAUUGGUAGCUCUUGGUAACAAGAGUGGUAGCCCCGCUGUAUGUGUUGUCCCCUCUCUCCAUCCAUCUUGUGCAGUAUUUCAGAAAAUCAGUGUUAGGACAUCAUGCAUCAAAGAAACAAAGAAUAGUGAAAGUUAGAAGAUACAUAAGGAAGACUUCUCCCAAGCACAUAAUAUGCAUGCCUCUUUUCCUGGAAGCAUGGGGCCUAGCUCUCAGCUCUUUGAAUCUAAUUCCUUCUUUCCCUCCAAGACCUGCUGAAUGACAAUGUUGACUCCAAUGACAAGAAUAGGGAGAAUCAUCUAUGAGUGUGCUGCUAUUUAGCUUUUCAGUGGUUAUCCUGCACCAAUUGCCAGUGCCAGAAGGAGAGCACUUUCCAGGGCAGUCUAUGCUAAUUGUGCUGAUCCUCACUGGAAGAUGAAGUGUUCAAGGGAUCCUACCCCGAUUGGGCAAGCUGACACCUCUGCCUCUGAGGCCUUUUACUCCCUUCUCCCAAGAGAUUUGAUUCUAGGUUCGUAUACUUAAUUGUGGUGUGGGGUUUGGGUUCCACGUUGCUUUAUUUCAGCUCUGCAUCAGCCAUUGCAGCCUAAUUUCUGGCUUGCUGCUGUCUCCUCCUCCUUCCCAUAGCCAUAAGUAAGUAAUAGCCCUUCUGCCCCUUUGUUUCCCACUUUCUCUCUCUCUGGUAGUUGAGUGAAAGCCUUUCUUCUCCACUCCAGAGAUUCUGCCACUCUCAGGUUUUCCGCACUGCAGUAGUUUUCACUUCUUUUUAGCAAAGCCCUGCUGGGUUCUUAGCCGCUAGUUCCUCUCUAGUGUUGUAGCAUGGGCACUGGCAGUGCUCCAGCUAGAGUCCUAGUUAGCCUAUCCUCCUCUCCUGUCAGGUGGAUGAAAGUUCUGUCUCACACACACUAACCACCCUUGUUUCUUUUACUUAGAGGACAACACUGGUCUGAGAGGGUCCCAAUGACUGUGAAUCAGAUGGAAUUAGCUUUAUGCUCUGUUCUUUUUGUUCUCACCAGCAAGUGUAAGUGCCUGGACCCUAGGCCAAACAAUGCAUGCAGGAGCUAGGAUUCCAGGGCCCCUUGAUCAGCAGGAUCUUCAGUAUAUGACAGUAAUUAGACAAGGUUCUUCUCUUCUCCCCUGCUGGCAGGCUCUUGCUCCAUUAUUCUGCCUUGGCUCUAGAAGUUCAGGCUCAGUAGAAACUUCUGUGCUUAACUCUACUCAGAGGCUUGAGAAAAUCAUUCUUCUUACUGCUUUUCAUGGCAGGUUUCCCUCUAAUUUUCUCUCUGGUGCAUUCUUGCUCACAUACAGCAGAGGAUUCGCUGCAGAGCUUUCAGAACUUGGCUACAUAACUGGAACUGAAAUAAUCAAACUGGUUGUAAUUCAUAUAUUUAGUUACUUCAGUGCAAGUCUGUGUGCACACAAUGUGUGCUCUGUUUUAACAUAAGUCUAUACUCACUUACAUAAUCCAAAAGAAGAGUGCCCUAUUUCGAGAUUAAGUGACCACACACAGGCUAGCCCUGAAAUAACCAAAGGGGAGAAUGACUGCUGAUUUUCUGUUACUGUGUAGACAAGCCCUGCCUUUCCAUGCUGGUGCAUUGCUCUUAGCUUCAGCGUGUGGGUCUCUAUAAUUUCACCAUGCAGAUAACUGAGGUCCCCUUAACUCACACACACACACUCACUCUCUUUGGUACCCUUCCCACCCAUGCCUGCUGUCCCAGUCUCAGCUGCAUUGUCUAAUUAAACAGCAAGGCUGCAGCUGUCCCAGUGCUGAACUGGGUUAGGAUUAAUUUACCUAUGUGCCAUAUAAUAAACCAUGCUAAAUAUGGCUUGACAUGGUUUUCUGAAAUACAGUACGUCCUGGUCUACACGUGCAGUAAAACAAUGUUCAGCACGGAGUCACUCUUGUUGAUAUUUGUCACUAAAGGUAAAUUUUGUUUGCUGUUUAAAAGUAGAGGUAGGACACUUCCCAGUCACCCAAAAUGUUAAAUAAAUGGGAAUUAAGGGGAGAGAAUUGUACAUUUCUUUUUCAUGUUUGUAUUGACCACAAUACCCCAAAACACUCCAUAAAGCUUUUACUUCCAUCUCAGACACCCAAAACCAGCACCGAGUUCCGGCACCUCUAGACUUGCCGCAUCAGUUACGAAUUAAGCACUGCCCAUAACCUAACUUCAUCAAACUGGUUCUCCAAAACACACAACCUUAACAGAUCAACACAUUUGACUGUCACACCGUUCAAGCAUUUUGGGAAGAGGCUUGUUAUUUUGCCUUUCCACUCGUGAGGUCACUAUUAUUCUUUUCUGCUGAAUGAGUUUCAGAGAUGUAGGGCAGGAUUAAGAUUUCUUGGCACUGCUGCCUGAAAUUCAGAGGAUUAGAGUGCACUCUCCUAACAUUCUGAACUUGUGUAAUCAAUAGUGCAGUGGGGAAAAAUUCUAAUUACGUGGACAAUAAAAGUAGCUGUUGGUUGUAGAAGAGUAGAUUCCAAGUGAAGUUACAGGUAAGAGCCUAACUCCAGCUUUUAUUGUGCUAAAUCUUUUCAUAGGCCAUCAUUUUGUCUGUCACUCAUGUUUCUUUUGUAUGAGAUGUGCUUCGCCUUCCGUGUCAAACAGUCUCAUGCCUGCUCCCCUGGAAAACACAGUUGCCCAACUUGCUUAAGCAAGUUCCCAAGGUAGAACCUGCUUCCGUCCUGGAGCCCCUGUCUUGUCAACAGGCACUGUGAUGUGUGUAUGUUAGCGCUACCACAACCCACCCUUAUAAAGAGGCUUGUGUAAAAUAGAUUUCAGUGUGCAUGAAGAAUUACAACAAUCAUGUAACAUUGCAAUUAGUUUCAUGUUGUCUAAAUAGAUUGUUUGGAAGUGAA